UACGGGGGGAGCAAGCGUUGUUCGGAUUUACUGGGCGUAAAGGGCGCGUAGGCGGUCAGCACAAGUCAGUUGUGAAAUCUCCGGGCUUAACUCGGAAAGGUCAACUGAUACUGUGCGACUAGAGUGCGGAAGGGGCAACUGGAAUUCUCGGUGUAGCGGUGAAAUGCGUAGAUAUCGAGAGGAACACCUGCGGCGAAGGCGGGUUGCUGGGCCGACACCGACGCUGAUGCGCGAAAGCCAGGGGAGCGAACGGG
rnacentral:rRNA from 1 species